AUAAAAGUAGCAAAUACGUGCAUUAGGUUUAGGACCUAAAUAUAAAGAUGUCAGUUCUUUCUUUUAUA
rnacentral:tRNA from 1 species